rnacentral:rRNA from 1 species
GAUGAACGCUGGCGGCGCAUUUAAGACAUGCAAGUCGAACGAGCGAGAGAGAGCUUACUUUCUCAAGCGAGUGGCGAACGGGUGAGUAACGCGUGAGGAACCUGCCUCAAAGAGGGGGACAACAGUUGGAAACGACUGCUAAUACCGCAUAGGCCCACAGGUCGGCAUCGACCAGAGGGAAAAGGAGCAAUCCGCUUUGAGAUGGCCUCGCGUCCGAUUAGCUAGUUGGUGAGGUAACGGCCCACCAAGGCGGCGAUCGGUAGCCGGACUGAGAGGUUGAACGGCCACAUUGGGACUGAGACACGGCCCAG